rnacentral:rRNA from 1 species
UCGAAUCUUUGAACGCACAUUGCGCCCUCUGGUAUUCCGGAGGGCAUGCCUGUUCGAGCGUCAUUUCAACCCUCAAGCCUGGCUUGGUGUUGGGGCACUGCCUGUAAAAGGGCAGGCCCUGAAAUCUAGUGGCGAGCUCGCUAGGACCCCGAGCGUAGUAGUUAUAUCUCGUUCUGGAAGGCCCUGGCGGUGCCCUGCCGUUAAACCCCCAACUUCUGAAAUUUUGACCUCGGAUCAGGUAGGAAUACCCGCUGAACUUAAGCAUAUCAAUAAGCGGAGGAAAAGAAACCAACAGGGAUUGCCCUAGUAACGGCGAGUGAAGCGGCAACAGCUCAAAUUUGAAAUCUGGCCUCGGCCCGAGUUGUAAUUUGCAGAGGAUGCUUCUGGCGCGGUGCCUUCCGAGUUCCCUGGAACGGGACGCCACAGAGGGUGAGAGCCCCGUAUGGUCGGACACCAAGCCUGUGUGAAGCUCCUUCGACGAGUCGAGUAGUUUGGGAAUGCUGCUCUAAAUGGGAGGUAAAUCUCUUCUAAAGCUAAAUACCGGCCAGAGACCGAUAGCGCACAAGUAGAGUGAUCGAAAGAUGAAAAGCACCUUGAAAAGGGGGUUAAAUAGUACGUGAAAUUGUUGAAAGGGAAGCACUUAUGACCAGACUUGGGCCGGGCGGCUCAUCNGGGGUUCUCCCCUGUGCACUCCGCCCGGCACAGGCCAGCAUCGGUUUUCGCGGGGGGAUAAGACCGUCGGGAACGUAGCACCCUCCNGGGUGUGUUAUAGCCUGGCGGACGAUACCCUCGCGGGGACCGAGGUCCGCGCUCCGCAAGGAUGCUGGCGUAAUGGUCAUCAGUGACCCGUCUUGAAACACGGACCAAGGAGUCGUCCAUUAGAGCGAGCGUUUGGGUGUAAAACCCGCACGCGUAAUGAAAGUGAACGCAGGUGAGAGCUUCGGCGCAUCAUCGACCGAUCCUGAUGUUCUCGGAAGGAUUUGAGUAAGAGUUUUAACGGACGGACCCGAAAGACAGUGAACUAUGCUUGUAUAGGGUGAAGCCAGAGGAAACUCUGGUGGAGGCUCGCAGCGGUUCUGACGUGCAAAUCGAUCGUCAAAUAUGAGCAUGGGGGCGAAAGACUAAUCGAACUGUCUAGUAGCUGGUUACCGCCGAAGUUUCCCUCAGGAUAGCAGUGUUGAUCUUCAGUUUUAUGAGGUAAAGCGAAUGAUUAGGGACUCGGGGGCGCUAUAUUGCCUUCAUCCAUUCUCAAACUUUAAAUAUGUAAGAAGCCCUUGUUACUUAGUUGAACGUGGGCAUUCGAAUGUACCAACACUAGUGGGCCAUUUUUGGUAAGCAGAACUGGCGAUGCGGGAUGAACCGAACGCGGGGUUAAGGCGCCAGAGUGUACGCUCAUCAGACACCACAAAAGGCGUUAGUACAUCUUGACAGCAGGACGGUGGCCAUGGAAGUCGGAAUCCGCUAAGGACUGUGUAACAACUCACCUGCCGAAUGUACUAGCCCUGAAAA